GUGCAUCCGCGUACUGUCUUGGAUCCACUACAGAAUUGUCAGGACUGCUAUCACCCCGGUGCAGCACCCGCAGGCCCAUCUGUAAUAUGAAUUGGCAGAGUCAGGUACCAGGUUGCAAAGACAGGGAAGUGAGCCAAAGCUGGCCGCAGCUCGAGGCAUGGGGAGAACCUGGACAAACGAGGACUGCUUCCCACUCGCAGAAAGACUUUCCACCCAGCUCUGCAUUCCCAUAAACCGUCCAGACUGCCCUUUGGCGGGGUCCAUCGGUCUUUGUUUAAAAAAAAAAAAAAAAAAACUCGAAUGUAGAUUGCCCGCUUAUCCUUUUAGUAUAGCUAUAUUCACUCUUGCGGCAAUUCUCUUCCCAGAAAAUUCAGACUACAAUAGGAAAUGACAUCCAGAAAAGCAGAAGGAGGAAAUUUAUGUUGGAGAGAAGAAAUAAAGCUGGCAGGAGAGGUGUGAUGAGGAUAACGAAGGAAGCAUUUUGCAUCUAUUUUAACCAGUUAUUCGUUUUCACAAGCCUUGAUAAUCCCCCGCAUUAUUCCUCUGUGUGUGUGUGUGUGUGUGUGUGUGUGUGUGUGUGUGGAUGUUUUUUGAGUGAUCGUAAACUGCUUAUUAAGCCUUUGAGUCGUUUUAUAAAAGGCCGUUGUGUGUGUGUGUGUGUGUUGUCUUAAUGCUCCUUACAUGAGAACUUUAUUCUUUUUCUAUACUAAUUAUUUUUCCAUAUGAUGAGCAUGCAUUUUUUUCUAAUAAACACCCAGCGAUGUGCCCUAGGGGUAAAUGGUACCCCUUUCUCUGUAAGUGUGUGCCUCUCUCUCUCUCCCUAUCUCUCCCCCUUCAGAAACUACUUUGCUUCUAUGUCAGGUUGAAUAAGGAAAAGAAUUUAGACAUAAGCUGUGUCACACAGUGAAUGUAGCAAGGAAAGGCCAACAAGGGACACUUUCUUCCACAAGUUUCUGGAUUUAAAUAUGUUGCUAUUUGAUACUAAUAUAUUACAGAACAGUUAGGAAAAAGUCCCUAAGCUAUAUGCAUGUUACGUUUUCCAGGUAUACUAUUUAAAAUUAGUUUUUUAUCAUCAAAGACCUGCUCUUUAAGAAAAAGUACUAUAUGAAAGAUUCUUCCUUUCUCCUCUUACCAGAGGUAAUCAUGCUAAUUGCAUUUGUUUGUGUCCCUUGGACAUUUUCAGUGAAAAAUCAUAUUUUGACUAAAGGGUAUGUACUAAGAAGGAAUUCGAGCUAUGUAUGGAAUACAGUGGGUUUAAAGUAACCCAUAAUUUUGUUGUGGCAAAUAAUUUUUGUUGAGGCAAUUUAUACUAGUCUGAAUCCAGUAAGAUAAGUAAAUCCUGGCCAGGCCGGGUGGCUCACUCCUGUAAUCCUAGCACUUUGGGAGGCUGAGGUGGGCAGAUCACCUGAGGUCAGGAGUUUGAGAACAGCCUGGCCAACAUGGUAAAACCCCGUCUCUACUAAAAGUACAAAAAAAUUAGCCCAGGCGUUGUGGCAAGCGCCUGUAAUCCCAGCUACUCCGGAGGCUGAGGCAGGAGAAUCACUUAAACCUGGGAGGCGGAGGUUGCAGUAAGCAGAUCUUUCCGUUGCACUCCAGCUUGGGCAACAAGAGUAAAACUCCAUCUAAAAAAAAAAAAAAAAAGGAAAAAGUAAAUCCAAAAUACGCUUUAAUAAGUUUUCCCCCCAAGGCUGGAGGAAAAAGGUAUAAUAAGUAGUCAUUCUCCUUUUUGUCUCUUUCCAUUAAAUUUUGGUAUAAAGCUUAGUAUGAGUGGGAACAGGUACCAAAUAGUCUUGCAGAAGCAUACGUAUUUUUAAAUAUGUGUGUACCAACUAGCCCUGCUAAAAGCAUACAUGAUUUAAAAUAACUAGAUAAAUGAAGAGGCAAUGGACAUAUCUUUAUGGCUUAUUUUUCCUAGAAAAUUUAACAAGCUCUUAAAAUGAUUAUCAGGAAGAAUUAUUUCAGCUAAAUUGAAGGGGAAACAGUUAAGACAGGGAUGCCAGUUACAAGAAUUAGUAACAGGUAGGCAUGAGGUGAUCAGGAGUACCAUGGCAGAGGAAAGGAAAAGCGAAUAUAAACAACAUGAAGGAAAAAUGGACUUACUACGCAACUUAAUGGAUGCGUGGAACAGAGAGGGAGAAGUACAAGGUGACCAGUUAUAAUUUUGAUGACAGAAAAUAGUGUUACCAUUAAGAGAAAUGGAGAAGUCAGAAGUUUGGCUAUUGAGAAGAGAUUAGUUUAGAUUUAAAGAUGCAAAGUUUGAGUUGCUGAUGAGCUAUCUCAGUAGAAGCACCCAAAUAGAAGUUGAAAGUACAGGUUAGGUAGGAAUAGAGAUGUGGGAAUCAACUUUAAAACAGACAUUAAAAUGAAAUCUUCAAAGAUGUUCUUAUUUAGUUAGUGAUAGGAGAAAGAAAGGACCCAGAGAUAAUAAUAAAGCUGCUAGGUAGAAAGAAAAUGAAAAGAAAAUAAAUUUUUAAGAAAGAGAGGGUAGGCCAGGCGAAGUGGCUUGCUCCUGUAAUCCCAGCACUUUGGGAGGCCAAGGUGGGCAGAUCACCCGAACUUUGGAGUUCAAAAUCAGCCUGGUCAACAUGGCGAAACCCUAUCUCUACUUAAAAUGCAAAAAUUAGCUGGGCAUGGUGGCACAUGCCUGUAAUCCCAGCUACUUGGGAGGCUAAGGCAGGAGAAUUGCUUGAACCUGGGAGGUGGAGGUUGCAGUGAGCUGAGAUGGCACCACCAAUGCACACCAGCAUGGGCAACAGAGCAAGACUUUAUAUAAAAAAAAAAAAAAAGAAAAAGAGGGUAAUAUUUACAGUCAUGUUUGACCAUAGGCAGCUUUAGGCUUCUGUGUCUCAACAAUUUAGGAAGUUAGAAUGUCACAGGAUAUUAUUUCCUCCAUAGACCUUCAAGAUAAUAGUGACUUUGAGAAAGUUGCCUUACUCUUAAAGGACUGAUCACUGCCAUUAAUUUAUAUAUAAUAUUUAAGGGAUGCAGAGGAAGCAAAUUACCAUUUCUGUAGUUUAAGGUAUUUAGAGUAUUACUCCCCAAAUAGUCACUUUUAGUAAUGAUUAUGUUUACUAACAUCAACUAGAAACUAUGUUUGAUUUUUCUAUUCUUUUUGUAUAUAGGAAAAAAAUGCCAAUUAAAAAUGAAAGUCAGUUAAAAAACACUGGAAAGCAGUAUCUGUUCCUUUUUAGAAGAGAAAGUUAGAAGAAACUUCAACCUUUCUUCUUAGAUAAAAUGCAUGCCCCAGGUUAAGAAUUCCAGGUUUAGGAAUACUUCGUACCUUUUUCCCACAUUGUUCCAUACCACAAGAUUGCCUUCUCAAUAUGCACUGAGGUUGCAUGGGAAAUAGAUCACCUUCCUUCCCAGAAUCCUUGUUUGUAGUGAGGAGAAUGCAGGGAUGCAAGCUAGUCCCACGUUCCAGGGUGUGGUUGAGAAAGGGCUUCUAGGCACCUGAGAUGCCAAGAGAAGUGGGUCAUUCCCUUCCUGCUAAGCAGCAGAGGUUUUUGCCAAGGAACUAAAUUCCAUCUUGGAAACUCACUUCUCCAUAGAAACCAUUUCACAAAGAGUUCUAUAAACAAUGGCCUUCCUGCAAAAUGCCUACUUAAAUUAUAAUGUCGCUGAAAUUCUGUAUACAUAAUACUAAAAGUCCAGUGGUAGAAAAUAAUACUCUUAAAUAUAUGUAUCUUUGUGAAUUGAUGCAUUUAGAAAAAAAAUGUAUUCCAAGUAUUAGAUGGGUUUUUCCCUUUAAUUGUACCUAUAACUACUUUUAAAAUUAUGAACUUUGUAUUCCAGUUCCCACAAGAAAAUUAAGAAUAUUGAAUUUGAUCAAAAUAAAGCCUUCUAUCACUUACUUUUUAGAUGAAAUACAAAUUAGGACAAUUUUUAGGAAAGGUUUCCUAAUAAAAAAAAUUAUGUGAUAAAUUGGUUACAUAAGUUGUUUCUAUAUUAUACAGUGAAACAAAAAGAAAAGGAAUAUGAAAAAGACUUCUAAGAUUAAUUCCUAAACCUCUUGCAUUCACAUCUAAUUUUGUGUAUUGGAAGCAAAACACACAGUGUUUUUAAACAGUUUUUUAACACUCUUUACAUAAUGAGCUUUAUUCUUUUUUAUGCUAAUUAUUUUUUCAUAUAUGAGUACAUUACAUUUGGAUAAUAAUCUACAUAAAAAUGACUUGAAAUCAAGAGAGAGAGGACAGAGAUCAGAGGGUGUAAACAGUAUAGAGCCGGGUCUAGGCAGAACUAAAGGGAGCAUCUACAUUUCAGUGGCAGAAGGAAAAAAGAAGUGAUAGGAAAGAUGACACCAACCAGAAGGGGCAGGAGACCCAGUAAGGAUACCCUGGAAGCUGAAAGGGAGGAGUUCAAGAUCAAAGAUUGAUCAACAUCAUCUAGUGCAGUGUGACUGGGGGCAUCCAGCAGUGUAGUCAAAGAGGACCAAGAGAGAUGGAGGUGUCCAUUGAGAUGUCCUAGAUUAUGUCAUGACAUUGUUUAUCUGAAUUAAAACUCUUAUUUAUUUGGUUUCUUGCAGAUAAAAGUGAAUACCAAGAAAAAGUCUGCUUAUUUGGACUUCUGUAGUAUUUCUAUUUUACUACUUUACUAAGAGGACUUUAUACCGUCUUCUUAAAUAUUAUAAAAUAUAAUGUAAAUGUAAAACAAGUAUGGCACUAGAGAAUACCUAUCUGUCAUACUUGUUGACUCACUAAUGUGCAUAUGCACUCAAAAAUAUCUGCAGGCUUAGCUCCACACAUGAAUCAGUGAGACUGGAGUGAGACCCUCAUUCUAAUCUCACCUCUGGCUCCAGGCCUUCUUUUUUUUUAGACAGUCUCCCUCUGUUACUCUCUUAGUUUACUACAGACUCCGUCUUCCAGGUUCAAGCAUUCUCCUGCCUCAGCCUCCUGAGUAGCUGGUAUUACAGCCUGUGCGUUCAUUUCUUCCUCCACUUGGCUCUCAUGGCGCAGGGGUUUCUACGGCGAAAAAGAGAAAAGCUGCAGUUAGUUUGCUGUGAUGAUGCAUACUCCAGGACCCAGCACUGGUGGAGAAGCAUUGAGAGAUCGAGCCUGGCUGGUUAGCAUGGAAUGAAGAAUCACAGGCCGGGCGCAGUGGCUCACGCCUGUAUUCCCAGCACUUUGGGAGGCCAAGGCGGGUGGAUCAGAAGGUCAAGAGAUCGAGACCAUCCUGGUCAACAUGGUGAAACCCCGUCUCUACUAAAAAUAUAAAAAAAAUCAGCUGGGCAUGGUGGCGUGUGCCUGUAAUCCCAGCUACUCAGGAGGCUGAGGCAGGAGAAUUGCCUGAACCCAGGAGGCGGAGGUUGCCGUUCACCAAGAUCGCGCCGUUGCACUCCAGCCUGGGUAACAAGAGUGAAACUCCGUCUCAAAAAAAGGAAGAAAAAAACUAUCAUUUUUCGUUUAGACCACAAUUAUGCUUUUUGUUCCAUUGCUUGAACGUGUAAUCCUGCAUAAUACUGUUUUGUUGCUUCAAAGUUGGCAUUGUAUUUAUAAAAUAUAAUAUUGAAAUUAAAAUCUGAGAAGUAACUGAAAUGAAAAUCUGAGAAUAAGGUAUUGAAAUAAAAAUCUGGGAAGAAAAAGCUUUUAAAAAUCAAUUUUUAUUACUCAUAUCUCCAGUUUCUCAAGUUUAGCUGUUACUCUUAAUGAAAUUCAUGAAGCCCAUUAUAGAAAACAAAAGAGACAAUAAGCAGCUCAUAAAUGAAAGAGCCUGAAAAAGGAAACAUUGGAAAAAAACAGAAUAGGAAGAGGUUUUGUUUUGUUAUGGCCUUUGUGCAGACCUCUUCUACCUUAUCUGGAAAGGCUGCUAGAGCAUUUGGGCUGUGGGUGAGGUCAUGUUAUAGGUUAAAGCCUUUAUUUUUAAAGGAAUGAUUUACUUGCUAUUUAUUAUUAAUAAGAUCAUUAUUGAACAAAGCCAGAGAUCUUAGUGAUUUUUGAAAUGUAAAACAUUUCAUUACCUUUUAUUUAACAUUAUCGUUUCUUCUUCUUCUUCUUUUUUUUUUUUUCCCUGAGACAGAGUCUUGCUCUGUCACCCAAGCUGGAGUGCAGUGGCCAGGUCUCAACUCACUGCAAGCUCUGCCUUCUGGAUUCAAGCAAUUCUCCUGCCUCAGCCUCCUGAAUAGCUGAGAUUACAGGUGCAUGCAAUCACACCUGGCUAAUUUUUUUGUAUUUUUAGUAGAGACAUGUUUUCACCAUGUUAGCUAAGAUGAUCUCUAUCUCCUGACCUCAUGAUCCACCCACCUUGGCUUCCCAAAGUGCUGGGAUUACAGGCGUGAGCCACCGUGCCCGGCCUAACAUUAUCAUUUCUGUUUCACACUUUCCAAUACAGAAAGCUAAAAGAAAUACCUUCUUCCUCAAAACAACAUUAUCCUUAACUGGUAACUAUUCAAAAAGUACAUUUUAAUUUUUUUGAAAGUCUUUCUUUAAAGGAUAGUUGAUAAUAAAUUGUACUAUGGUGAUACAUUGGUUUUAGACACAAAUUUCAUUUAAAACAUUUCAUAUUUGGAACUUUUGAUCAGGUUGGUUCUUUUACUUGAGGUGCUACCCACAUUUUGAAGUUGUUCUUAAAUCAAGGUAAGCAAGUUGCUCCUAAAUAGAAACAGACUGCAGUUGAUUAUCAGAAUAUUAGCAUGGCAAGCUUUCAUUUAUUUACAAUGACAAUGUAGGUACUUAUAAUCACCCUUAACAUGUGACAUUUUUUUAAAAAAAAGCAAGAUACAUAUAACAUUCUAGCCAGAUCAAUCAGGCAAGGGAAAAAAUAAAAGGCAUCCAAAUUUGAAAAGAGAAAGUCAGAUUAUUUACUAACAAUAUGAUCUUAUACCUAGAAAACUUUAAAGACUCCUCCAAAGACUCCUAGAUUUAAUGAGUGAUUUAGUAACAUUUCAAGAUACAAGAUCAAUUUACACAAAUUAGUAGCAUUUCUAUACACCAAUAACAAUCAAGCUUAGAAUCAAAUCAAGAAGUCAGUUCUGUUUAGGAUAGCUACAAACAAAACAAAACAGAACCAACACGAGAUGCCUAGGAAUGUAUUUAACCAAGAAGGUGAAAGAUCUCAACACAAAAUAUUGAUGAAAUAAAUUGUAAAUGACACAAACAAAUGGAAACGUCCCAUGCUCAUGGAUUGGAAGAAUCGAUAUUGUUAAAAUGGCCGUAUUGGCCAAAGCAGGGUAAUCUACAGAUUUAAUGCAGUUCCUAUCAAAAUACCAACUUUAUUUUUAACAUAAUUAGAAAAAACAAUUCUAAGAUUCAUAUUAGCCAAAAAAGAGCCCAAAUAACCAAACCAAUUCUGAGCACAAAGAACAAAGCUGGAGGCAUCACAUUACUGGACUUCAAAUUAUACUACAAGGCAAUAGUAACCAAAACAGGAUGGUUCUAGUAUAAAAAUAGAAAUAUAGAUCGAUGGAACAGUAUAGAUAAUUCGGAAGUAAAGGCACUUACCUGCUGCCAACUGAUCUUUGACAAGGUUGACAAAAGCAUACAUGGGGAAGGGACGUAGUAUUCAAUAAAUGGUGCCUGGAAAAUGUGGAUUGCCAUAUGCAGAAGAAUGAAACUGGAACCCUCUUUCUCACCAUAUACAAAAAUUAACUCAAGAUGGAUUAAAUACUUAAAUGUAAGACCUGAAAAUAUAAAAGCACUAGAAGAAAACCUAAACAAAAACUUUUCCGGACAUUGGCCUCAGCAAAGAAUUCAUGACCAAGACCUCAAAAGCAAAUGCAACAAAACCCAAAAUAGACAAAUGGGACUUGAUUUAACUAAAAACUUUUGCACUGCAAAAGAAGUAACAAGCCAGGCACAGUGACUCAGGCCUGAAAUUCCAGCACUUUGGGAGGCUGAGGCGGGGCAGAUCACCUGAGGUUGGAAGUUCAAGACCAACCUGACCGACAUGGAGAAACCCCAUGUCUACUAAAAAAAAAUACAGAAUUAACUGGGCAUGGUGGCAAAUGCCUGUAAUUCCAGCUACUUGGGAGGCUGAGGCAGGAGAAUCGCUUGAACCUGGGAGGCGCAGGUUGCAGUAAGCAGAGAUCGCCAUUUCACUCCAGCUUGGGCAAUAAGAGCAAGACUGUCUCAAAAAAAAGAAAAAAGAAAAGAAAUAACAGAGUGAACAGGCAUCCUGCAGAAUGGGAGAAAAUAUUUGCAAACCAUACACCAGAAAAGGGACUAAUAUCCAGAAUCUACAAGGAACUCAGAAUGGCUAUUAUAAAACAAACACAACAACAACAACAAAGCCGAGACUAUUGGCAAGGAUGUAGAGAAAGGGGAACACUUAGGCUCUGUUGGUGGGAAUGUAAAUUAGUGCAACCUUUAUGGAAAACAGUAUGGAGAUUUCUCAGAAAACUAAAAAUAAAACUAUAAUUUGAUCUAGCAAUUCCACCACUGCGUAUAUACCCAAAGGAAAAAAAUCAUUAUAUCAAAAAGAUACCUGCACUUGUAGGUAUCUUUGGCACUAUUCAAAAUUGCAAAGAUAUGGAAUCAAUCUAAGUUUCCAUCAGUGGACGAUUAGAUAAAGAAAAUGUGGUGUAUAGCUAUACAUGUAUAUUUAGCCAUAAAAAAGAAUGAAAUCAUGUCUUUUGCAGCAACAUAGAUGGAACUGGAGGCCAUUAAGUGAAAUAACUCUGAAAGUCAAAUACCACAUGUUCUCAUUUGCGAGAGCUAAAAAAUGUGUACACAUUGACAUAGAGAAUAGAAUAACAGACACUGGAGACAUGGGAGAACGGGAGGGUUGGGAGGGGAGUGAGGGAUGAGAAAUUACUUAAUGGGUACAGCAUACACUACUUGGAUGGUGGUUACAGUAAAAGCCCAGACUUCACCACUCUUUAAUACAUCUGUAUGUCAAAAGUACACUUGUAUCCCCAAAUUUAUAUGAAUAAAAAAAUUAGCCUCUGAAUUUGGAACUCGAGACUUUGAUACCCUAAGAAUAUAUCUCUAUUUUGAUUUGUAUAUUUCAGAAUUAGCAAGUGUAUAUAUUUUAAGUCGCUUAUAGUUUUCAAAAGAAACACUUUGUGCUUGUGGUGCUGUGGCUUCUAUAUAUGGAUUGAGUAGAACAUCAUAUAGAUGCCCUUCUCACAGUAACACAGUUGUAGGAUAACAAACCUGUAAUUAAGAAGGAGUGUUGUAUAAAACUGAAUUCAAUGCAGUUAGCUUAUUUUCUUGUUCCAAAAUGUAUCAAAUAUCAGCUAAUAUAAGAUGUUUACUUGAAGGACAAAUUCCUCAGAAAUGCUCACAGAGGCUAGAUGAAGAUCAGUCCUAUAUAUCAUUAAAUCCUCUUUCGGUAUUUUAACAUUCAUUCUUUGAAUCUGAUUUCUCCUCUUCAGCUUUUUCAAAUGUGUUUGAAUUAAGAUCAUUAAUUUGUUUAUCAAACUUAUAAAAUGGAAAAGAGGGUCCCAAGGUGGGUGCAGUGGUGCAGAUGUGUAGUCUCAGUUAACUGGGAUGCUAAGGAAGGAAGAAUGCUUGGGUCCAGGAGUUCAAGGAUCCAAUGCACUGUGAUGGUGCAUGUGAAUAGCCACUGUACUUGAACAUGGGUAACAUGGUGAGAUCUGGUCUCUUAAAAAUAAGAGGGUUCUUAUGGAAGGAAUUUCUUUCUUUCUUUCUUUUUUAAAGGCGGAAUCUCACUAUGUUGCUCAGGUUGGAGUGUAGUGGCUAUUCACAGACGCGAUCCCACUACUGAUCAGCACGGGAGUUUUGACCUCCGUUUCCUACCUGGGCCUGUUCACCCCUUCUUAUGGAAGGAAUUUCUUAUGGAAAGAAGUAGUCAAUGCAUUCUUAAAAUCAGAUAAUGUGUUUUAUUAAUACAGGGGUUGGUGAAUCAAAUCUAGGUCUUUAAGUUUUGUUCUGUAUUUUGCUCUGUGUUUUUUCAGCCCUUUCAGGGGAACAAACUAAACCUCUGCCCCAAUUUCUCCACCAUGUGGAUAGAGCAAUCACAACACAUUUUGGGGUCCUAGUCCAUUGGCAGAAUAUAAGUAUUUUUAAUGUGAACUUGAAUUAAAAAUGGCUUUUUGAAAUGAGCAAAAAGCUCAGUGCAGUGGCUCAUUCCUAUAGUGACCCUAGAGGCUGAGGCUUGAGGAUUGCUUGAGCCCAGAAUUUUGAGGCUGCAGUGAGUCAUGAUCAUGCCACUGCACUUUAACCUGGGCAACAGAGCCAGACCUCCACUUUAACAAAAACAUUGUCCCUUUUUUUUUUGAGAAAGGGUCUCACUCUGUCUUCCAGGUUGGAGUGCAGUGGUGCGAUCUUGGCUCACUGCAACCUCCACUUCCCUAGCUCAAGCGAUUCUCAUGCUGCAGCCUUCCAAGUAGUUGUGAUUACAGUGUGCAUCACCAUGCCCGGCUAAUUUUUGUAUUUUUUAUAGAGACAGGGUUUCACCAUGUUGCCCAGGCUGGUCUCAAACUCCUGACCUCAAGUGAUCCAGCUGCCUCAGCCUCCCAAGGUGCUGGGAUUACAGGCAUGUGCCACGACACCUGGCCCCUAAAAGUUUUCCAGAAGAGAAAAAAUAGAAACCACUCCUGUCAAAAUCACAGUCCCUGUCUGGGGUGAAUUUUUCUCAUCUGUAAAAUGAGAAGCUUAGAAGAGAUGAAGGCUAAGCUUCAUCCCUUCCAAUUCCAAAGGUCUAUGCUUCUAUUGUUUGCAACAGACUUUUUGAAACCUGGCAGGGCAAAACCAGGCAAGAUCCAACUGCAGCCCCUUAAGAGGAACACAGAGGAGCCUCUUAAUUUCUUGGGCUCAGCAACCAUUUUACCUCAGAAUAUCAUUUUAGUCUUCUGGCUACAGAACUGAAUUUCCAACCUGAAUCACACGAAUCAAUGUCCGAGUGAAUCAGGCAUUCUUAUUCAAAAUAUACAUGUGAACAUAUAUUUUAAAAAUAAAUCUAUAUAAUACACCAAUAUUUAAAAUUUCCCAGAACAAAAUUAUUUUUUUUUUUGAAACGGAGUCUCGCUCUGUCACCUGGCUUGAGUGCAGUGGCUUGAUCUCGGCUCACUGCAACCUCCGCCUCCCGGGUUCAAGUGAUUCUCCUGCUUCAGCCUUCCGAGUAGCUGAGACUACAGGUGCAUGCCACCACGCCCAGCUUUUUUUUUUUUUUUUUUUUUGUGACGGAGUUUUGUUUUUGUUGCCCAGGCAAUGGUGUGAUCUCAGCUCACUGAAACCUCCGCCUCCUGAGUUCAAGCAAUUUUCCUGCCUCAGCCUCCCAAGUAGCUGGAAUUCUAGGCAUGUGCCACCACGCCCAGCUAAUUUUGUAUUUUUAGUAGAGACAAGGUUUCUCCAUUUUGAUCAAGCUGGUCUCGAACUCCCAAUCUUAGGUGAUCCACCCGCCUCGGUCUCCCAAAGUGUUGGGAUUACAGGCCUGAGCCACCAUGCCCAGCCUAAUUUUUGUAUUUUUUAGUAAAGAUGGGGUUUCAUCAUGUUGGCCAGGGUGGUUUUGCUCUCUUGACCUCAUGAUCUCCCACCUCUGCCUCCCAAAGUGCUGGAAUUACAGCUUUGAGCCAUGGAGCCCAAUCACAAAAUGUGAAGGCACAGUGACUCACAGCUAUAAAAGGGAGGAUGGGCAAAUGGAUCAUCAUGUAUGCCUCUAAUCACCAGUUACUUGGAAGGCUGAGACAGGAAAAUCAUUUGAGCCCAGGAGUUCAAGGCUGCAGUGAGCUAUGACUGUGCGACUGCCCUCCAGACUGGGUGACAAAGCAAGAACUUGUCUCUAAAAAAAAAUAAAAAAUAAAAUUUUCUAAAAAGGAUUAGCAAAUAUCUCUCAAUCACAAAUUGCUUUUAUUCCUGGGAAUAAGACAACACCUCCAAAUACAGCAUUCAAAGAUGCCUCUUGCACUUUCAAAAGAUCCUUAUUUCUGCCAUGAUGCAGCUAAUUUAAGAAUAUGUACAUGAGGCCUUUUUUUUUUCCUUCCUUCCCUCCUUCCUUCCUUCCUUCCUUCCUUCCUUCCUUCCUUUCUUCCUUCCUUCCUUACUUCCUUCUUCAAGAAAAAAGGUCACUAGUAGAUUAGACUUUAAUGUUUCAAGAGAUUCUUUGGCAUAGAAAUUAUUUUCAAUGCUCAGAAUGAUGGAGGAAGCGAAGAUAAAUGGGAGAGAAAAUGGUUUGGAUAUAUUUAGAAAUAAAGAUCUUCUAAAAUAGCAAACACAAAAGGAGAACUAGUGGUAAAUUUUACAUAAUUGUUGAAGAUAUUUAAAGGCUUGUUGUCUUUCUUCACUUAGACCAAAUGAUGUUUUAAAUUGUUAAAACUCAAAAUACUUAAUUUAUCCUAUAUGUACUUUACAUGCAUUAAAUUAUUAUGUAAUAAUGAUUUUCUUGAAGAUUCUGUCAGCAACACAGCAAUGGUAAAUGCAUGGUACAAGACCUCAUAUUAUAAAUCAUACUUAAU